CUUUGAGUCAUAAUAAGCCAUGUCCAGCUCCUGCAAGGAAAAAGAUGCACAUGAGAGUCAGCUGCAGUGUUGACAACUGCAAAAAAACAGCACGAGAACUGAUAGACAUGUGCUCAGUUUGUGGUCUGUUUCCCCGACAUCAGUCCUGUGUUUCCUGUAUUCGUCGUCUUCCUGCCCGUGUUCCCAGUGCUUCUUUGGCAUCGCAGCAACAGAGGCGCAGCUGGGCGCAAAGUGAAAAAGAGGCUGAAUACAUUAUUAAGAGGAAUUCAGAAUCAGCGGGUUGAGUCGGAGUGAGCUUCGGUUAUGAGCUACUUUCAUCACCUUUAAACAUAGCAACAGGUGAAACAGAGGCAGAGAGGCUGAAGAGAAAGAAUUCUUCUCACAAUAGAAAAAGUCAGUAGUGCAAACA